GCCUCGGUGGAGUCGGUGGUAGGCAGUUGGACUCACAAUCCAAAGGUCGUCAGUUCGAAUCCCGGGAUG
rnacentral:tRNA from 1 species